rnacentral:rRNA from 1 species
CAGUAGCCACGGUAAUACGGAGGGAGCUAGCGUUGUUCGGAAUUACUGGGCGUAAAGCGCGCGUAGGCGGUUACUCAAGUCAGAGGUGAAAGCCCGGGGCUCAACCCCGGAACAGCCUUUGAAACUAGGUGACUAGAAUCUUGGAGAGGUCAGUGGAAUUCCGAGUGUAGAGGUGAAAUUCGUAGAUAUUCGGAAGAACACCAGUGGCGAAGGCGACUGACUGGACAAGUAUUGACGCUGAGGUGCGAAAGCGUGGGGAGCAAACAGGAUUAGAUACCCGCGUAGUCCCUGUCUCUUAUAA